GGGAUUGCCCUAGUAACGGCGAGUGAAGCGGCAACAGCUCAAAUUUGAAAUCUGGCGCAAGCCCGAGUUGUAAUUUGUAGAGGAUGCUUCUGGGCAGCGGCCGGUCUAAGUUCCUUGGAACAGGACGUCACAGAGGGUGAGAAUCCCGUAUGUGAUCGGUUGGCACCCGCUACGUAGCUCCUUCGACGAGUCGAGUUGUUUGGGAAUGCAGCUCUAAAUGGGAGGUAAAUGCCUUCUAAAGCUAAAUACCGGCCAGAGACCGAUAGCGCACAAGUAGAGUGAUCGAAAGAUGAAAAGCACUUUGGAAAGAGAGUUAAAAAGCACGUGAAAUUGUUGAAAGGGAAGCGCAUGCAACCAGACUUGUCCGCGGUGUUCCGCCGGUCUUCUGACCGGUCUACUCGCCGCGGGCAGGCCAGCAUCAUCUGGGAGCGCCGGAUAAAGGUAGCGGGAAUGUGGCCCCUCGGGGUGUUAUAGCUCGCUACACAAUACGGCGCCUCCCGGGUGAGGUCCGCGCUUCGGCUAGGAUGCUGGCGUAAUGGUUGUAUGCGGCCCGUCUUGAAACACGGACCAAGGAGUCUACCAUCUAUGCGAGUGUUCGGGUGUCAAACCCCUACGCGCAAUGAAAGUGAACGGAGGUGGGAACCGCAAGGUGCACCAUCGACCGAUCCUGAUGUCUUCGGAUGGAUUUGAGUAAGAGCAUAGCUGGUGGGACCCGAAAGAUGGUGAACUAUGCCUGAAUAGGGUGAAGCCAGAGGAAACUCUGGUGGAGGCUCGCAGCGGUUCUGACGUGCAAAUCGAUCGUCAAAUUUGGGUAUAGGGGCGAAAGACUAAUCGAACCAU
rnacentral:rRNA from 1 species